rnacentral:rRNA from 1 species
UACAGAGGGGGCAAGCGUUGUUCGGAAUUACUGGGCGUAAAGGGCGCGUAGGCGGCCUGUUAAGUCGAACGUGAAAUCCCCGGGCUCAACCCGGGAACUGCGUCCGAAACUGGCAGGCUUGAAUCCGGGAGAGGGAUGUGGAAUUCCAGGUGUAGCGGUGAAAUGCGUAGAUAUCAAGAGGAACACCUGAGGUGAAGACGGGUUGCUGGGCCAACACUGACGCUGAGGCGCGAAAGCCAGGGGAGCAAACGGG